GAUUUCCUGGGGUGUUCGAUACUCCUGAUAUUUUGAACCUACACCUAUUGAUUGGGAUUCCUACAUUUUUGUAUUGAUGCCAGGCCUCCUCUGAGUGGAAGGCAGAUAUACAGAUGCGGUUGCCCACCUGGCUUAAUUGCUAGGACUCAAAAUUCAGGAACCGGCAUUUUGGGGUCUUC
rnacentral:other from 1 species